GGAAAAUAUUUUCUAUAAUUAAACCAUCUUGUUGUUUCAGAUUGUUGUUUAUUAUUCCUAUAAAUUUAAAGCUAUAUUGAAAUAUUUUUGAUGAUAAAUUUUUAAAAUAUUUUCUAGUGGACUGUCAAAGAGAAGAUGAAAAUAAGGUGACAAGAGGUAAAGUUGAACAACUACAAUUAAUGUUAGAAGAACGUCGCCAGCGUCGAAAGGCUAGAAGAGAGAUAAAAUGUGCUCCCUACUAUUCUAAUAGAGUCUCAGGACAUUCUGAGCAAUAUAGUUCAACAACAAACUAUGAAACUUCCAGGAAAAGCAUCUCUAAUACAAGGCUACAACCUAUGGAUGUCAACAGCUCUGUUGAAAGCAGCAGUGAAUUAGCAAAACUCAGUUCAGAAGCAGCAGUGGCCUGAGAUAGCCAAAAAUAAAAUCAACCAGUAUUCCAGUAUGCUGUCAUGUGCAAGCUAUAAAAUCACUGGCAUGUAUUGCCAAAUUUUAUCAUAUUGAAAAUGAGGCAAUUUGCUACUUGGACAUCAAUUUAAAGUUGUCCCAACCAUUAGAAAUUUUUGGUUUUCUUUGGUUAUCGGUAGUUGGAUUGUUAAAGAAAUGAAUUCAUGUAUUUGCUGUAAUGGAAAACACAGCUAUGGUUUGUUCUAUAUUCCAUUGAAAUGGUGUGUAUCAGGUAUUCACCAAAAGAAGUAGAGAUUACUUGCCAUCACUAUCGGUACCAAAGCUAAUUCUAAUGCUCCAGAAUCUAGAUGCAGUACCUAAUACACUUAUUUAAUGUUAUCAUGGACAGUUACCACAUUUAUGGGUAGGGAAAUAAAAAUUUGGCUUGCCAUCAGAGUAGAUGGUUCUUAAUAUCAUCUCAGGUUAUUUAAAUUCUCUAUAAUGGCAGUAUCAUGCCAAUCAUUCUGGGCGCAUCGAUUUUUUGAACUUUAUUCAAUAUAGCACAAAAGCAUCAAAAUUUCUUUUACUACACAGACUGUAUGGAGUUCAAUUUUUCAGUAUAUUGUCAGAAAUGUAUUAUUAUACUACAGUAUAUGGAUACUGUUAAACCAUUGUGUGCAUGUGUGUAAAUAAGUGUAUUUUACAGUCACAUCAUACAGGAAAAUUCAAAGUUAAAUACACAAUAAAAUAACUAAUACAGUAAAAGUUACCAGUAUUUGAUACAAAUUCAUUAGUUUUAAGGCAGCUGUGUGAACCAAAUAGUAUCUUGCUUUUACCAAAAAUAUACCAAAGACCAGAUCAGUAUGCUUGCUUGUAUUAAUUGCCUGGCAUUUAUGUAUGUUGCAUACAAUUCAAUAGUUUUAACCACAACAGUAUAUAGAAAUUAGCAAUUAAGUCCUUAUGAAUUUGAUUCCUUAAGGCAGUUUCUCAUAUUUUCAAAGUCCUAUUUGAAAAUUUUCAAAUAUAUGUGAUGCCCCAUAGUUUAUUAGAUUGUCC
rnacentral:lncRNA from 1 species